rnacentral:tRNA from 1 species
AUCUGGCUGGCUCAGUUGGUAGAGCAUGUGACUCUUGAUCUCAGGGUUGUGAGUUCAAGUCUCAUGUUGGGUG